UCAUCUUUUCAUCAAACUCAAACACUAUUGCCUCUGCUUUGAACAUCACAGAAAAAACAGAGACGUUGGUCGUGAAAACCAUCCACGAUGCUGCCUCCAUCUUCAUUGGAGCCCUAAAGUGUUGAUAAAACCUUUCUAUGUGGUCACGUCUCUUCAUUGUUGAAGGUCAGGUGGACUGGUUACGUAUUCAAAGCAGCGUCACUUCAUUCAUACAGAUGGACUCCAAGGCUUCUUUCCAUUCCUUGAUCUGUUUUCCACUAGAGGUUUCCGCGAGCGUCCAGAAGUUUUUACCAAAUUCAUUGCUAAGUUUCGGGUUUCUAACAUCUUUUGGCUCCACCAUGUAGAAGAUUGGUAUGACUAUGAGCUUUUCUUGAUCCACUAAUUCCACCAUCUUUACUAAUUCGUCCAAACACCACUUUGUCUCUGAAUACCUAUACUUAAUACAACGAUAAUGAUUCUUGAAUUUUAUGUGCAUCUAAUACUAAUGAAAUAAUUAACAUCACAUUGAGAACGUGAAAGAAUAGUAGACAAACCUUGUAGAGAAGAUGGCUAGUGCAAUGCUCGACUCUUCGAUUCUUACAAAUAGAUUGUUUAGGUCUUCGCCUCUCUUCUCGUCUUCGUCAAUGAAGAAUUCAAUAUCGUGCCUCUGGAAGGCAUCGCGGAGGUGGCUAACAAAGUUGUGCCGUACUUGAUCUCCCCGGAAAUUAAAGAACACUUGAGGGACCUUAAUUCUCGUGGGAUAUGAAACAGGCGACGGCUUCAAAUUCAAGUUCGUUUGACCACCACUGAAUGAGCGACAAGACUCGUUGUCAAAACACUGUGAUGGGGAGUUGUAAUUUGCUGAGAGGCCGCAAGACCGUAAUGAAACGUUGGCGGCCUUAUCGACUGCUAUGAUGCUGAACAUGAUUAGCAGCAAGAAACUGUAACCUACGAUCAUGUUCCUCUCCUCCGUAUUAAAAUUUCCCUUCUUCUUUUUAUUUCCCUAAAAAGGAAAUAAUAUCAUCAUUAUUUUUAAAAGUCCAGUACAUGUUAGAGCACCUCGUGAGACUUAUUUUUUUAUAUCGCCCAAUUCUACGUGUAAAUGACAUGCAUAUUUACUCCAAAUAUGGUCCCAAAAAUCAACUUGAUUUA